GGAAAAGGAUGUGACGAAGGCCAGGAGAGAAAGUGAAACCCUUCCGUCCUCGCUUCAGUGGGAAACGAGCACCUCUGCCAGACAGGUCCUUCCUUCCUCAAGGGUGACUCUGGAGGGCCCAGGCCCAUUGCUUCCUUCCUGCUGGUUAUUUCAGGAAAGAGGCAAGGGAAACACAAGCAAACAUAAACAAAUGGGAUGACAUCAAACUAAAAAGCUUUUGCAUAUGAAGGAAACUAUCAACAAAACAAAAAGCUGCCUACUGAAUGGGAGAAGACAUCUGCAAAUGAUAUAUCCGUCUUCCCCGUGUUUUAUCUCCACCCGAAUCCACUGGCCCUCUCAAGGUGUAGAACAGCAAGAUGCUGAGAGGGUGUCGGGAGAGCCUGAGUCUGCAGCCGAUGACUCCGAGGGAGGGGCUGUUCACAGUCAGCGUCCACACACCAAUAAACUGCAGAAGACGACCACCGCCCUCACCAGCAGGAGGCCGAGAAGCGACGCACCAUCCCACCCGAGGUGGCAUGACCUGUGGUUCACAGCAAUGUCUAGUUCAACCCCCACCCUAAAAAAGACCCUAGGAGGUGAAGGGACUCCCCCACAAGACCUCCUGACCCCUGGAGUCUGCCAGUGCGGACUCCGACCCAGCUCUGUGACUGCCUACUUGUGGGACCUGGGACAAGACCCUUUAUCUCACCAAGCC